GGCCGGGUCCCAUGCAAUGGGCGACUGGGAAUCCCGCCAGGUCCGGAAGGAAGCAACGGUCACCAGCCCCGUCCAUGUGCCGUGGGCCUGCCUGGCCGGA
rnacentral:SRP_RNA from 1 species